AAUGCACCAAUUUGUAAGUCGCUCUGGAUAAGAGGGUCUGCUAAAUGACUAAAA
rfam:Salmo salar isolate Sally breed double haploid chromosome ssa01, whole genome shotgun sequence.